ACACGCUGCCUUGAUGGUGAGGUUUGUGGGAGCUGCUGGUGCCUGCCCAUGCUUCUGACAGGGUGAUGUAGAGCCUUGUUGUCUGCAUGUCUUACUUGGCACUGAGGGCGGUUUUGCUGGGAAUAAUCCUUUGGUCAAGUGAGUUGGAUCACGAGAAAGCAGAAAGCAGAAAGGGAGCUCCCAUUUGCAAUGGAAGUAGACUGAACAUAACAGAAGGAUGUCUUUAGCUCUACAAUUUGCAACUGAUUAUGAAGCACACAAGGAUUUCAUUUCCUGUAACAUCACCCAUAAAUCACUGCAUCUUACCAGGAUUAAUUUAUCCAAAUAAUGAUCAGAGACUUCUACAGGCUGCACUCAGGUGACACGCAGCUUUCAGCUGUACAGGAGAGAACCCUGCAGGCCUUGGCAUCUCUAGAGAGUCCUAAAAAUAAAUGUUGAAGUGGAGUGUCUGGGAAGAUUGAUGUACCUGCUGCAGCAAUAUCAAAUAAUGCAUUUACUGUACAAGGUCCUGCCUGCCCAGAAGGCUGAUCUUGACUUACUGCUGCACCUACAUUAAAUUCAGGUUUUUCAUAAGAAGGCCAGAAAACAUUCUGAAAAUCUUCUACUGUUUAAGUAUUGAAAAAAAAAUGCAGGUAGAGACAAGUAGUGCUUUGUGCUGUUACGAUGCAAAUAUUGUAUUGUCAGAGAAGUAGGUAACUACCUUGCUGUUAAACCUUAAAAUACAAAUUCAGAAGCUUUUGCUAAUUCAUCCUUUGUGACUCAUUCUGCAGAGUUCUCAACACUGAUUACUUAGACAUCCUGAGACCAGCCGUGCUUCAUAUAUGUCCUUUGCAAAGUGUUCUACUGAAAUUGCUUACUCGCUAAUUAUUCUAAUCAGAUGACAAUUUCCUGAAUGGCAUUGUUGAAUACCUUGGCUUGUUCACUCACUUUUGUUGCCCAGUGUAACUGCCAUUGCAAUAUGAUGAAAUUUUUUCUUUCCGCUCAAGACUUUUAUGUUUCAUUUCAUGUUUGUAUUACUGAUUUGGAGUCAGCUCUGUUAUUACUGACAGACAUUCAUGUGACUUUUUCCAAGUGAUUUCCAAGCAAAACAUUCUGUGAAGAAGAUUGGCAUAAAUAUUCUUUGCUAUAAGAAAAAGAGUGGGAAAGAGAGAUUUAAUUAUCAAGACUAAAUUGCUGUCUCAGACUUCCAGUGCCUUACAAAUACUCAAAGAAGUCUCUUUAAUUAAAGUAAAAUUAUACU
rnacentral:lncRNA from 7 species